CACGUAUUUAGCCGUCGCUUCUUCUGCAGGUACCGUCACUUCCUUCUUCCCUGCUGAAAGCACUUUACAAUCCGAAAACCGUCUUCGUGCACACAGAAUUGCUGGAUCAGGGUUGCCCCCAUUGUCCAAUAUUCCCCACUGCUGCCUCCCGUAGGAGUAAGGGCCGUAUCUCAGUCCCCUUGUGGCCGUCCACCCUCUCAGGCCGGCUACCUAUCUUCGCCUUGGUGGGCCGUUACCCCUCCAACUAGCUAAUAGGACGCAAGGCUCUCCGCAGGCGUCUCCUUUCAUCAUUAAACCAUGCCGCUUAAUGACCUUAUCCGGUCUUGUCAGCAGUUUCCUGCUGUUAUCCCGGUCCCGCAGGCAAGUUCCUUACGCGUUACUCACCCGUCCGCCAUGGUUACCAUGGUGCAAGCACCACUUCCCCAUCGACUUGCAUGUGUUAAGCAUUCUGUCAGCGUUCAUCCUGAGCCAGGAUCAAACUCU
rnacentral:rRNA from 1 species